rnacentral:rRNA from 1 species
CACGUAGGGCGCGAGCGUUGUCCGGAAUUAUUGGGCGUAAAGAGCUCGUAGGCGGCCUGUUGCGUCCGCUGUGAAAGCCCGGGGCUUAACCCCGGGUCUGCAGUGGAUACGGGCAGGCUAGAGGUAGGUAGGGGAGAAUGGAAUUCCUGGUGUAGCGGUGGAAUGCGCAGAUAUCAGGAGGAACACCAAUAGCGAAGGCAGCUCGCUGGGACGGUACUGACGCUGAGGCGCGAAAGCGUGGGGAGCGAACAGG